AACUUUCUGAAUCCGUGUUUAGAUUUCGUCAGGCACCAAUCCAUCACUGCUGAUCAGACUUCCAAGAUAAGUGAAGUU
rnacentral:pre_miRNA from 1 species